rnacentral:rRNA from 1 species
CAUGUCCUUUUGAUUUUGAUUUAAGGUCUGAUCUGCUCAAUGAGUAGUUAAAUUGCCGCAGUAUUUUGACUGUGCAAAGGUAGCAUAAUAAUUAGCUUUUUAAUUGAAAGCUGGAAUGAAUGAUUGGACGAGAAAAUUACUGUCUCUUUUUAAAUUUUUGUUGAAUUUUAUUUUUAAGUUAAAAAGCUUAAAUUUUUAUAAAAGACGAGAAGACCCUAUAGAGUUUGACAGUUCAAUUAAAUAAGUUUUUAGAAAGUUAUUUUUAGUUGAUUUGUUUAGUUGGGGUGACUGGGAGAUUAAAUAAAUUCUUUUAAUUUAAUAUUGAUGAUAGUUAAUUUUUGUUUCUAUUUUUUUUAAGUUUAAAAUAAAUUACCUUAGGGAUAACAGCGUUAUUUUUCUUUAAAGUUCUUAUUGAAAGGAAAUUUUGCGACCUCGAUGUUGGAUUAAAAUUAAUUUUUGGUGCAGUAACUUAAAAAUUGGGUCUGUUCGACCUUUAAAAUU